CGAGAAUAGCCCUAUCAUGUGGUUUCAUUAGUCAUUUUAAUCUCAUCAUCAGAGAAGCUCUUGGCCACUUCAGCUACAAAAAGACCACAUCCCUUUGGGAUUUGCCAUGGUCCCAUGGGAAGCAAGGGAAGCACCUAGAUUAAGCCAUAGUUCAUCCCAGUUGCCAGAUCACUCCUUCCUGUGUAUAUAGCAACGGAGGAGCACAGCGGGACACAUCAUGGCCUUGAGACUCAAAGCUUUCCCUCUGGAGUGUUGGAUGGGAUAACCCAUGGGGAGGCAGUGUCCAUGGUUCUGCAUUCCCACAGUUAUCCUGAGAUCUGUUGGGAAAAUCAGGCCCAGCCCUGGAUUGUGAGUGAUGUGGAACUGCAAUGACCCAAGAGGAGCACAGGGAGCAUUUUCCCACAGAAAAUUGGAAUGAGCUCCAAACUCUUUGGUGCAUAGAGAAACAUGCCCACUACAGUACAUCACAGACUAUGCACCACAAUGUUAACUCUGCCUCCCUGGGGAUUACCAGCCUUCCAUCACACUGUGUCACUCUCCUACUGUGCUUCGUGCUGGACCAAACUACCCUUUCCUGAUGCAACCAGCUACUACAGCAGUCAUCCAUAACGACUAGCUCAGGGGAAAAAUAAUCUGGUAAAGGGCAAAGGGGGAUAGAGUUAAGAUAGCAUUGUGUCUGUGGUGAAUGGCAGUUGUGGUAAUGGGAAGAUAUAUGCCAGGGGAUAGAGGAGAGGAAGGUAUGAAAUGUUAUGUGAUUUAUUUCCUUACUUUUGCGGGUUUGUGAGGUGUGUUGUAUGGGUAGUAACACUAAGUGCUUCAGAACAAAGUUUUAUGUGUAUUAAUUAUAUAUGUGUUUGUGUGUAUAUACAUAAUAGGCACACUAAUCCCUAUUGUUUUAAUUCUACAAACAUUUCCAUGCUAAGAAGUCAUUUUUAGCUGCUUAUAACUUUUAAUGUCUUGCUUUUUAGGCUGAAUUUUGGUAGUUUUGUUCUCAGCCGAUAAGUAUAUUUAGAGAGUUAUGCAUAUUUGAAGCCAUGCUGAUUCUAGUAAAAAACACUAGAAUAAAAUAAAUAAUCAAAACAAACAACAAAACAUCUCUUUGUUUAAAAAUACAUUUUGUAAAUUGUGGUUUUUUUUUUACUCUUACUUAAAAGUAGAGAUGAUCAUAAACUGUGUUCUGUGGAAAAAACAAAGAAAAAAAAGUUUUCAUUAAAAAACAAAAAUGGUCAUUCUUUUUUGCUCUGAAAUGUUUUGGUUUUCAGUUUUUUUGUUUUUAAAAAAGCAAAAUUAAAAAUCUUCUAGGAAAGUAGAAAAUUUCCAUUAAAAUUGCAGUUGCAAUCAGAACCCCCAAUUUUCUACUGAAAAAUAAAAAGGUGGUGUUGGGGAACUUUUUCAACCAUCCCUGUUUAAAAAGUCAGUUCACAGUUUUAAUAUUUCACAUUAUAUCAAAUGGAACUUGGUUGCAGUAGGGAAGUGUUUGGAGGUGAUACCACACCACAAAGCCAGUCUGUCUUCACAUGGCAAGAAUGAUAGCUGCAGUUGUAGCAUCUUGGAGAAUAGUUCUUUUAAUAAUGAGCCUGUUUAGUUUUAUGAGCAUGGAGUCCUUUCAUGUUAUUAUGGUAUACAAAGCGACAGUAUAUUUUUAAGGACCUGAUUAUAUGGCCAUUUUUAUUUUUAAACUGUAUUUAUUUAUUUUGUGGCUACUGUAAAGUCAUGCAUGGGUUAAAAU